GCCGGACGUGUUCCGGCUCUGUAAUGCCAGCGUGGGCGGUUCCAACUCCGUGAAAAGGCAGAGGACAGA
rnacentral:ribozyme from 1 species